GAUGAACGCUGGCGGCGUGCCUAAUACAUGCAAGUCGAGCGAACCACUUCGGUGGUGAGCGGCGAACGGGUGAGUAACACGUAGGUGAUCUGCCCAUCAGACGGGGACAACGAUUGGAAACGAUCGCUAAUACCGGAUAGGACGAAAGUUUAAAGGUGCUUCUGGCACCGCUGAUGGAUGAGCCUGCGGCGCAUUAGCUAGUUGGUAGGGUAAAGGCCUACCAAGGCGACGAUGCGUAGCCGGCCUGAGAGGGUGAACGGCCACACUGGGACUGAGACACGGCCCAGACUCCUACGGGAGGCAGCAGUAGGGAAUCUUCGGCAAUGGGCGAAAGCCUGACCGAGCAACGCCGCGUGAAUGAUGAAGGCCUUCGGGUUGUAAAAUUCUGUUAUAAGGGAAGAACGACUUUAGUAGGAAAUGGCUAGAGUGUGACGGUACCUUAUGAGAAAGCCACGGCUAACUACGUGCCAGCCGCCGCGGUAA
rnacentral:rRNA from 1 species